GCCAUCUUAGCUCAGUCGGUAGAGCGCGUGACUUGUAAUCUCGAGGUCUUCGGUUCGAUUCCGAAAGAUGGCU
rnacentral:tRNA from 1 species